UGGUGCUAAAGUGUGACGUCCCCAGCCC
rnacentral:piRNA from 1 species